rnacentral:lncRNA from 1 species
UUCAUGCUUUCCUAGACACCAAUUAGAUCAAUUAAUCUAAUAUGACUCGCUCAUGUUGGUUCACUCUCGACUUGAUUGAGGAGGUUUUAGUUUAGUUCUCAUUGGGUUUGCUACAUCACAUGUAAACCUAUCUACCCCGCUCUCAUUCACAUCACAUGCAAACGGCACAUCGCAGGCAGUUAUAAUCGCAGCAAUGAAUAAAGCUAAACUUUAAAUAGGUGAUGAUCAUGGAUUCUAAUUAGGUCAUAUUACAAGCACAUGCACGUCAAUCGAUCAACUGGUCUUCAACUCUUGAAUUGGUUUCAAGCCUCCUUGAUUCGAUCCUUGACCAACUCUUGAUCCAAUCGCCAUCAACCGCUCAGAUCGCCGUUCAUCUCAUGCACUAUCUUCGACUUAAUCGUUGACGUACAUCAUAUCAUAGAAAUACAACCAGAUAUAAAAUAAAAAUAAUAAUAAAUUACAUCCCCUUUUAGUAGGCACGCAGGACUCUCAAAACAUCAAAUAAGAUGCAUAAAAGCAUCUGAAAAAUUACAUGACAUUACAGAUCACAUCGCAGGUCAUUACAUUUGAUACCAAAAGGGUUUGAAUCUUAUGAUCAUCACCACAUGCAGCAAUUAUACUUUUCAGAUCUGAAACUUAAUUGAUUAUGUUAUGACAUAGGUUGCUGAUCAUGCUAAUCAUGAUUCUAAACUUUGUAAUCCCAUUAACAAUGCAAUUAGAAUCAUCAAUUUAUCACAUAAAAAUCAGCAUGCAAAAAUCAGCAACCCUGAAAAAUUCUGCAUGCAGAAAAUUUCAGCAUACAUAUCCUUUUAAAUUUCAGAUCUAUCAAGCCUAUUUAUAAUUAAUUCUAACUUUAAUCUACGAAGCCUAAGCUCUGAUACCACUGUUGGGAACCCGCCCAUGCCGCAGAAAAUUAAAAAAAAAUUCAGAUGGCAGCGGAAGAGGCAUGCGCGGGAUCACACGUUCAUCCCAUGAACGUUGUUCAAAACCGUUCGCAGAUAGAUUAGAAUUAAAAACUUUUAAACUAAUUAUGAAGAUCAGAUCUUCACCUUGUGCGGGUAGAUGAUCACCGCAAACUGAAGUUCGUGGUUUAGGAUGAAGGUUCACUUGAAGCCGCACAAGCGUCCGGCCUCUACGGGUAUCCAUACGAAGUAGAGGACCGAUCAAGGUUUCCUUGUCUCCCCGGGGUGCUAGCUCCCUUGCAGAGACUUCUUUUGAUGGCUGAUUUCUUCCCUUUUAAUCAACUCUUGAUUAUGCUUGGAAGGAGGAAGAAGAAGAAAAAGUCUUUGAAGAAGAACCAAAGGCUAGACACAGCCUUUUCUUUUCCCUGCGUUGGAAGAAGGAAGGGAAGGGGAGGAGGCCGCCAAGGCCUUCUUCUUGUUCUUCCUUGCUUGCGGCUGAAGACCAAAGGGAGGAAGGGGGCCACGAGUUGGAGAGGAAUAGGGCUUCAAUUGAAUGUCCUAGGGUGCCGCCCACUUCUCCUUUUAAAGGCAUGAAGGGCUCCUACAAGUUAGGAGCCCUUGACUUAUUUCCAAGAGGGGCGUCGGCCCCUCUUUUCUUGCCGCACCAAGGAGGAAAAAGGGGAGGGGCUAAUCCUCUUUUCUUGCUUGCGCCCCUCCCUCUUGAUUAGCCCUAAUCCUCCUCUAAGGAGGAUUGGGAUGCCCUAAUGUGGCUAAGCCCUAAUCUAAUUAGGCUUAGUACAAGGAUAAACCAAUUUUGGGUCUAAUCUAGGUAAGACCUAAUCCAAUUAGAACUUAAAUCAAUUUUGACUCAAUUGAACUCUUCAAUCCUAAUCCAAUUAGGAGUCUUGUUAAUUCAUUAGAUUAAUAAUUAAUUAGGACUUAAGAAAUCCUAAUCCAAUUAGGAUUUAUUCAAUUUUAGUCCUAAUCCAAUUAGGACUCUAAUUUGAACCCGAAGUCCUAAUCCAAUUAGGACUUCUAGGAAUCCUAUUCUAAGUAGGAAUUCAAAUUGAAUUCAAAAUCCUAAUCUAAUUAGGAUUGUAGGAAUCCUACUCCAAGUAGGAAUCCCAGUCCUACUCCAAGUAGGACUUCCAGUUCUAAUCCAAUUAGGACUCUAGGAAUCCUACUCCAAGUAGGUUUCGUGUUUAAGUCCAAUUAAUUAAUUUCCAUUGUUCCUUCUUCAAUUUAUUAUCAAUCAAAUUGAUUACUCGUGAUUCAUAAUCACUUUUCAACCAUCGGAUCGGUCAAUACUUCUAGUGUGUGUGACCCCAUAGGUUCUAUUCUGACUGGUAGUGAGAUAUAUUGUGAUCUCUAUCACAAUGUCCUUGAAAACUCCUUUCAAUGGGUUGGAACAGUUCCAACUCAACUGUAGGGUUUAUCGAUCAUCGAGAUAUUCCCUGUGAGUCUCACCAUCCACCAGUGACACCUAGCAGCAUGUAGUGGCCAUCCAGCAGAAUGGAAUGAUGAACCUCUAGGUGCAGUUAUCGUAUGAUACAGUCCUACUAUCGUGGAUCCCUACAGGACGGAGGUCAUGGACAACUCGUCAAACCCUAUCGUCCGUCAUAUGUCAAGAUUUAUUCGACUUAAGCUCGAGAGUGGAAAACUCUUUCUCCACUGUACAAUCUGCCCCGGCCGAGGUCUUACGAACUCAGUCUUAUAAAUCACAUAGGAUCUCUCCUUAUCUAUCAAGGUCGAUAGAUUCCUUAUAGGUGCAUACCCUACUCCUACAGUGAACCUACUGCAGCCAAUCUACACUGCAUGGACCCAUAUGGCUAGAGACCAUGUAUACGUGCAGUCAAACUACAAUAACCUCACUGUGAGUAGCCGAAGCACCGCAGGUCAAAGGACCAGUCACACUACUGCAACAUCAAGCAAGUCACUGAUGAGUGGAUAGACAUCCAAGUGACUUCUUAUCUUGGUCACGCUCAGUACUCUUGUUCUCUAACAAGCACUUCCACAAUUGCUCUAGUGUUCCUACACUGUGGACUCAAGACUUGUCCAUCAAAGAAAGCAAUAUGUGCAUUAAUCUCAGCGGAUCAAUCACCGUCCUCGUAAUGAUCCAUCAAUUAUGAGUAAUUCAGGAAUUAAUCACCAAUGACAUAUGCCUCAAAUUCUUAACUCUUGAGAAUAUGCGUCAUUAUCUUAUUAAUUUCUUGCACGAUUAUGGACACAUAAGAACAUGAAAAAAAAGAAUGCCCAACUUAAUUAGGUCAAGUACAAAUUUAUGUUUCAGAAUAAAAUAAUGCGUCAACCAAAUUGGCUUCUAGGACAUACUUCUAACAAUCUUCCAUUUGCACUAAAGUCAAUCAACCAUAAACCUAAGCUACAUCUUCUCAAGAUGCAUUUCAGUUUUCUGCUGACUUAUCUGCUUAGUGAAAGGGUCCACCACAUUUCCUAUGGAGUCUACUCUUUGAUCCUCUACUUAUUUCUUUUCGAGGUAGUCACUUAUUAGGUUAAACCGCCGCUCUAUGUGCUUCGGUUUCUGGUGAGACCUUUGGCUCCUUAGCUAGUGCUAUGGUGCCUUUGUUAUUGCAGUAGAGUGUUAUGGCAUCUGAUGACAUUACACCUAACUCUGCAAUGAACUUUUUAAAUCAAAAGAUUUCCACUGCACCCUUAGAGACGGUUUGACAUUCAGCUUCUAAGAUAGAAUCUACAAUGAUCGGUUGUUUGGAACUCUUCCAAUUUACUGAACCACCAUUGCACAUAUUCUAAUGUAGACUUUCUAUCAUCAAUAUGUGUGUAUCCUUCUACCUUCAACUCUUAUCUUCUCCCAAAGACCAAGAACAUGUCCUUAGUUCUUCUUAAGCACUCAAGACUGUUCUUCACAGCUAUCCUGCGCUUCUUGCCUGGAUUUCAUUGAUAUAUGCUCGUUAUACUCACAGCAUGUACUAUAUCAAGUCACAUACAUUGCAUGGUAUACAUGAGGCUCCCUAUAGCCGAAGCAUAAGGGAUCUUGCUCAUCCGCUGAAUCUCUUUAGAUGUGUUGGGGCACAUCUUCUUGGAGAGAUUUAUCCCAUGCCUAAGGGAUAAUAAUCCCCUUUUAGUGGUUUCCAUGCCGAACCUCUUCGGCACUCCCUCUAUAUACAUAUUCUGUGACAGGACAAGCAUCCUUUUAAAUCUAUCUCCAUAGACCUUAAUUCAAAAUAUAGGAUGCUUUUCCAAGAUCUAUCAUGGAGAAUUCCUUAUACAACCAAACCUUGACCUAAGUUAGUAUGGAAAUAUCAUUCCCAAUUUGAAGGAUAUCAUCUAUGUACAAUACGAAGAAUGCAAUAGCCCUCCCACUAACUUUCUUAUAAACACAUGGUUCCUUUUCGUUAUUGAUGAAAUCAAACGAUUUGAUUAUAUCGUUGAAACGAGUGUUCCAACUCCGAGAUACUUGCUUUUGUCCAUAGAUGGACCUUUGCAGCUUAUAGACCUUGUGACCACCAUCACAAUAUCAUGAUAUGCUGCAACAGCAAGCAAUAUUCGAAUGGACUUAGCAAUGCUACAGGGUGAAAAGUAUCCUUAUAAUCAGUACUUUCGCACUGACUAUAACCUUUCACCACUAGCCUUGCCUUAUAAGUCUCUACCUAACCAUCCGAACUUAAUUUUCUCUUGUAGAUCCAUUUAUACCCAAUAGGUACUAUACCUUCUGGUGGAUCUACUAAGGUCCAGACUUGGUUGGAAUGGAUGGAGUCCAUCUCUGACUUCAUCACUUCCAGCCAUCUCUCGGAAUUGAUGUCUAACAUCGCCUCGUUGUAGGUAUUAAGAUCCUUACCUUGAUCCCUUCUCCCAUGAGGAACACUUCCUCUACAUCCUCUGUAAGCAUACCUAAGUACCUUUCAGGCGGACGGAAGAUCCUAAUAGAUUUACGAGGUGGAGAAGGUACUACAUGUACUGGCUUAAUAUGAAUAGGUUAUAUAAGCACAAUGGCUCGUUGCUUUUCAGUGACUUUCUCUUAGAGCUUAUUUUUUCUCCCACUGCCUCUAUCAAGGAUAAACUAUUUUCAUUAAGAUAGCAUGUCGACUCACAAACACUUUGUGAUCCUUUGGGACGUAAAAAUCAUAUCCUAAUAACUCUUUUAGGAUAUCUAAUAAAACGAGCAUUAAUUAUCCUAUCCUCUAACUUGUCCGCCUGUUGUUGCUUGACGUGGGCUGAACAUCCCCAAUCUUGAGAUGACCAAGACUCGGCUUCUUAUCAUGCUAUAUCUCAUACAGUGUGAUAGGAACAGACUUAGAGAAAACACUAUUCAAUAUGUAAAUAGCUGAAAAUAGGGCAUCUAUCUAAAGAAACAAGGAUAAAUCAGUGAAGCUCAUCAUGGACUGGACCAUAUCCAAUAGAGUCUGAUUCCUCCUCUCUGACACUCCGUUGAUCUGAGGUGUACCAGGAGGAGUCCAUUAUGAAACUAUACCAUUCUCCUUGAGAUAAUCACGGAACUCUCCACUAAGGUAUUCACCUCCUCAAUUUGAUCGAAGAACCUUAAUGAGUUUUUCUGUUUAUUUUUCUACUUCAUAUCUUAACUCUUUGAACCUUUCAAAAGUUUCAGAUUUGUGUAUCAUACACAUAUCCAUACCGUGAGUAAUCAUCGGUAAAUAAAGUAAAAAUUACAACCCCUAGCCUGCACAUCGAAUGGGCCACAUACAUUAGUGUGUACUAGGGUAAGUAUUUUAGUGGACCUUCCUGUGUCCUACAAAGGAUAAUUUGGCCAUCUUUUCUUGAAGGCAGAAUUCACAAAUCGAAUAUGACUUGAAAGUCAAUGAGCCCAAAAGCUCAUGUUUCUCCAAUUUGUUUAUUCUGUCUUCUCCUAUAUGACUAAGCCUGAGGUGCCACAAAUACUUUAGAUUUAUCUCAUUUCUGGAUCUAUUAGAUCCUAUGGUAUUUACUGUUUGUUCAAAUACAUUCACAGAUACAUCCAUAUGUAUGUGAUAGAGGCUGUCAAUCGUAAAACCACGUUGAACCGAUUUGUUUCUCAAAUGGAACAGUAGUCUUAUAAAAAUCUUUCUGUGCUAAACAAGAUACAGAAAUCAAAUUUCUGCUAGCAAUAGAUAACAGUCCCUAAGUAUCCUGAGCAUUUCUGACAUACCUUCUGAAGGUCUGUCACCCUUCAUGUUCUUUAUGCUUCCCAUGUAUGUAGGACAGUUCCUCUUCCAAUGGCCGUCCAUUAUGCAAUGUAAACACUUUUCCUUACAAUUGGCCUUUUUCUUGGAACUUCCUUACUUGGCUUCUUGUCCUUUUUCUGCUUCUUUGCAGGCUUUUUUUCUUCUAGAUAGACUCCCUCUUGGAAGUAGAAACCAACAUAACAGCGAGAACGAUGCCCCUUGAACUCUUCAAGGUCCCUAAGGUAGUUACCAAUUUAUUUAACAAUUCUGUUUUGGUGCAUACAAUCUUAUUCAUAUGGUAAUUUACUAUAGACUGUUCAUAUGAAGCUAGAAAGGAUUGUGGGAUCAAAUCCAUUUGCAAUUUCUUGUGCAUGGUCAUGCCGAGCUUCUCAAGCUUCUCUAAGUCCUUUAUCAUGGUCAAACCAUGAUCAUGGAUAGACUGCCCAUCGUGCAUAUUGGCCUUGAAGAGCCUCUUGGACAUUCAAACCAAGCUGCGUGACUCUGAUCACCAUACAACUCUUGCAGGUGAUUUAAUGUGUCCUUGGCAAUCUUCAUGUUCUCAUGCUGGCAUUAUAAUUUAUUGGACAUGGAUGCCAUUAUGUAGCACCUAACUUUAUUAUCAUCGUUCGUCCACUUGGCAUGCGUCUUACGCUGAUCAGUGAUCAAACAGAUUAGAAAUACGGGGAUUCCAUGGUCUUGCACAUACCCUAAUUUCUCACAAUUCAAAACUAUUUUGAAAUUUGCUGAGCUAGUCUUUAUAAUUGGGUUUGGUCAAACGGUUGUUCUAUAGGAUAUGAGUUAAAAGUCUAGAGGCUGACAUUAUAAUCCUCAGAGAGUAAAGAUUCUAGUUAGAAUUUUGUACUUGAUCUAAAUUUGUCCUAAGGUCUUUUAGAACAAAUGUUCCUUCCACUAUUUUCUCGAAUCCCUUACACUCCCUGGUAGGAAAACGGAAAACCUUCGCGACUAGGGUUUCUAGUGGGUACUGCGGUCCCACCGAUUUACAUGGCACCUCACCUAACAGUUAUUGGUGACAUAUAAAUAGAUGAGUGUACAACUCUUGUACAAUGCUUCUUAAACAUGUUGCAAUGCUACUUGGUCUCUAAGCCAUGAAGACCUCACCUAACAGUUAUUGGUCCCAUUUCUUAGUUAAGUCAGACCCACUGUAUAACCGUAGAAAUAAAGUCGUCAUUGGGUCCUCACCUAACAGUUAUUGGUGCCCAACCCCACCUUUAUCCUACAACAUCUCAUAUCUAUAGAGAGGUCCAGCCCCCCGAUGCAACUUGCCCACUGUGUCCAGCCGAGACAAGUCAACAUCAGAAAGACCUUAGCAGCUCUACUACGGUGGAAGACCUAUGGACUUAAUAUUGAUUAAUCAGAUCUUAGUGUUUGCAACUUGAGCUCUUCAUAAAAGGUAAUUGAACAAUUGGCUAGGUAAGCAGGUGGGAGGCUCCCCUUACUCAAACAGUAAGGUCCUAAUUAAGUAACCACCUUUCAUGCUUUCCUAGAUACCAAUUAGAUCAAUUAAUCUAAUAUGACUCGCUCAUGUUGGUUCACUCUCGACUUGAUUGAGGAGAUUUUAGUUUAGGUCUCAUUGGGUUUGCUACAUCACAUGUAAACCUAUCUACCCCGCUCUCAUUCACAUCACAUGCAAACGGCACAUCGCAGGCAGUUAUAAUCGCAACAAUAAAUAAAGCUAAACUUUAAAUAGGUGAUGAUCAUGGAUUCUAAUUAGGUCAUAUUA